AUACGAAGGGGGCAAGCGUUGUUCGGAAUAACUGGGCGUAAAGCGCACGUAGGCGGAAUGUUAAGUUAGAGGUGAAAUCCCAGGGCUCAACCCUGGAACGGCCUUUAAUACUGGCAAUCUAGAGACCGAGAGAGGUGAGUGGAAUUCCGAGUGUAGAGGUGAGAUUCGUAGAUAUUCGGAGGAACACCAGUGGCGAAGGCGGCUCACUGGCUCGGUACUGACGCUGAGGUGCGAAAGCGUGGGGAGCAAACAGGAUUAGAAACCCUAGUAGUCC
rnacentral:rRNA from 1 species